UAUAUAUGCAUGUUUAUUAUUUUACAGUGUUUUAACACGUUUUUGUAUUUUUCAUGUUUAUGAUAUUUUGGAAUUACUGAAGAUUCAUCGCAGAAUUCAAUAAUCCUGUGGAUGGACCACAGCGAGUCCUUUUGCAGUUAUCCAUCAAAAUGCUAUGCAGACAUAAUGGAAAUGACAUUUACAUUGUAGAGCUUGGACAAAGUUCACACAGGCUCUGCGCAGGAAUUCAUCAAGGACAUGACUGCUGGGAUUACGCUUGUGGAUGACCAAUCUGAGCACCAUCAGUCUGCAGUGAUAUGGUCCAGCCAUCCAGUGACAUUUAAGGAUGUUGAGAAAGAAAUUGAAGAGGGCAUUCUGAUUGUAACUGAAGAACAGCAAUGUGAUGUGCUUCCCAAGGAAUAACCAACAUUGGUCUCAUUUGGACAUCCAGUCAUCACUGACAUCUCCCAUGUCCCCAAGGCAUUUGGGGCCCUAUCUUGCACCCAGCGCAAUUGACUUUUUACACCGACGCAUGUAUCAUUCCUAUUUUGCACCCGCGCAAAGCGCGCUUUUCCCUCCACAGAAGCACGUCGCUAAACUAGUGAAUGAACUUGCGCUCCCUGGGCGGUUCAG